GCACCCGUAGCUCAAUGGAUAGAGUAGCUGACUUCGAAUCAGUUGGUUGGGGGUUCGAGUCCCUCCGGGUGCA
rnacentral:tRNA from 2 species